rnacentral:rRNA from 1 species
AAACAGCGGCACGUUGUCUGGUGAUCAUAAUAACUUUUCGAAUCGCAUGGCCUUGUGCUGGCGAUGUUUCAUUCAAAUUUCUGCCCUAUCAACUUUCGACGGUAGGAUAGAGGCCUACCAUGGGUUUGGAACGGGUAACGGGGGAAUUAGGGUUCGAUUCCGGAGAGGGAGCUGAGAAACGGUUACCACAUCCAAGGAAGGCAGCAGGCGCGCAAUUACCCAAUCCCGAUACGGGGAGGUAGUGACAAUAAAUAACAAUACAGGGCUUUCUAGUCCUGUAAUUGGAAUGAGUACAAUUUAAAUCCCUUAACGAGGAACAAUUGGAGGGCAAGUCUGGUGCCAGCAGCCGCGGUAAUUCCAGCUCCAAUAGCGUAUAUUAAAGUUGUUGCAGUUAAAAAGCUCGUAGUUGAAUUUUAGGGCUGGUUGGACGGUCUGCUCUAGGGUUUGUACUGUCCUGACUGGGUCUUACCUUCUGGUGAGCUGUCGUGCUGUUUAUUCAGUGCGGAGGGAACAGGACUUUACUUUGAAAAAAUUAGAGUGUUGUAAGCAGGCAUUCGUUUGAUACAUUAGCAUGGA